rnacentral:rRNA from 1 species
GGCUCAGAACGAACGCUGGCGGCGCGUUUAAGCAUGCAAGUCGAGCGGCAAGGGCCUUCGGGCCCCUAGAGCGGCGGACGGGUGAGUAACACGUGGACAAUCCUGCCCCCCGGCCCGGGAUAGCCCCAGGGAAACCUGGAUUAAUACCGGAUGAGACGGGACCCGCGAUGGCGGGACCCGGGAAAGGCGCUGCGGCGCCGCCGGGGGAUGAGUCUGCGUCCCAUUAGCUAGACGGCGGGGUAACGGCCCACCGUGGCGACGAUGGGUAGCCGGCCUGAGAGGGUGGACGGCCACAUUGGAACUGAGACACGGUCCAGACUCCUACGGGAGGCAGCAGCUAAGAAUCUUCCGCAAUGGGCGAAAGCCUGACGGAGCGACGCCCGCGUGAACGAAGAAGGCCGUGAGGUUGUAAAGUUCUUUUCGGGAGGGGGAACAACCGUGGCAGGGAAUGGCCGCGGGAUGACGUGAAUCCCGGAAUAAGCCCCGGCUAACUACGUGCCAGCCGCUGC